UUGGGUAUGUACAUGACAAGCUUUUAAUCAGUUGUGCAUGAAGAAUUUCGGUGGACGAUGAUGCAUGGCAUUGAGUAUGGAUAACGGUCUGAAUGGUUUAAAUGCAAUAUUUGUGAGAGUAGAUGCACAAGUUUGGGGAUACGAGUAAUCAAUCGUACAAGCUUUUACUCAGUUAUGCAUGAAGAAUUUUGGUUGCGGUGAUAAGGUGAUGCAUGGCACUGAGU
rnacentral:lncRNA from 1 species